rnacentral:rRNA from 1 species
UGGCGGCGGCCAAGACUUUCAACGAGGUCCUCUUGCAGCACACUGCCGUACUGGAUUUGUAACGAGGUCCUCUGCGUUGCGUAGCGAAGAGGAGAGAACCUACGUACGUGGCACACACGUGAGGCAAAGGCCGCCGUACUUUUGCUGCCGUCCUGUUGGGUGGGUCCGGUGGCCGGCCGCCCGCUCGUCGUCUCGUCCACACAAUAAGGUAAACUAAACUGCUAGACGCACGCAACCAGUCCUCGGUCGCCGCGAGGUGUUGACGAGGUUUACGUCGUAGGGGCGGGUUAUGUUUUGUGGCGUAUAAAGGUAGAGGCAAAAGCAGCCACUGAGGCACCGUCCCUCGGUUCGGUAGGGUUAUGUUGGGAAAUUGCUACCGCGUUUCCCGCGGAGGACCGCUACAGGUGCAGUCUAAUCGAUGUUCUGUUUCUCCAAAUAUAGGAGACCUCUUCUUUCUCUCUUUCCCUAACCCGUCCGCUUCUCUCUUUCCCUAACCGGGGUUCAGGGGUAGGGGGCUAAGGAGAGGGAGAUGGAAAGGGAGCAACGGCGGCGGCGGUGGCUGCUGGAGGGACGUCGGCGGCGGUAGUCAGUGCGGGAGGGGUUACCGACUGAGAAGGUGGGGAAAAGAGGAGGGGAAUUGAAGAGGAGUGGUAGCCGCUGGACAGGAGGGGGAGCGUGGUCUAGCUCGUCGUCGAGCCCGUCCCGUCUCGCCUGCGGUGGUGGUGGUGAGUUGCGGCCGGAGGGGGUGUCGGCGGCGGUGGUGGGCGCGGGAGGUGGUGUAGACCGCGUGGGUGGGGAAGGUAGGAGAGGAGUGGAAGAGGGGUGGUUGCUGCUGGAGGAGGGGAGAAGGAGCAGUGUCUAGCUGGUCGCCCAGGCCUAGACUACGUCCGAGUCUAGGCCGUGUGGGCGUCGCGAACAAGGUGAACUCCUGCAGUACCUGUACCACGAGAUCGUGACCACGACGUCAGUACCUGUUCCUCUAAUAGUGAAAGAUGGAGAGACACAACUUAAUUCAACCACAACGACGUUGGAGUUGCGGGUUUAUUAGUCGGGAUUGGGAUCGGGAAGGAACCCGUACCUUUGGUUCGUCUGCCCUCCACGUAGUGUCCAACGAUGGUAGAUUACACACCUCUCUCGGCUCCUCUUAUACGAGGCAAUGGUAGAACACUUCCUCCUACAAGUGGUAGGUUCCACGAGUUGUAGUGGUAGUAGAGAGCGAACGGUUCCACUAAAUAGAGUAAACGGUACGAGACGCACAGGCGUCGGUAGUUCUGUACCACUUAAAAAGACACACCACCGGUAGCUCGGUGCCACUAAACAUCUCAAAAUACAUGACACUACGGUGUAGACAAUCACGGACCUCUCAACAUCCCAAAAUAGAUAACACUACGGUGUAGACAAUCACGAACACCUAACGAUCCUAAAAUCACGUGGUAGUAAUGUCCAUUAUCAUAGAAAAACGGGGAAGAUGUCCCGGUUACGUGUCGCCGGGUUCGACAAGUAACCUUACUAGGAGUAGUAAUAGGAAUGGCUUCGAGAAACGGGACAUGCUGGAGUAGCAGCCGUAGUAGAAGAGAAGAUGCCAAGAUGGAACACAGGUAAUGAUAGACCUCGUAAACAAAAAAUCCUAUUUUAUGUUCCAUAAGUUAAAUCAUUACAUAACACCAUAAUGGUAUGUUGUCUCAUGUUCGAGUAAACAAAGUCAUAUAGUGUCUGGUUUGUUCGGUCGGGUUAACAGCCCUACGACCUAUAUCACCAACCUCACAACGUCGCCGCAGCACCGUCGCCUACCAUCGCUCCAUAAACCACGGGGCAAGAUGACGUGGUGGCAAAGGCUCACCAGAAUAACUACCGUCAUUUCUUUAGUCGCCCCUAUCAUCCAACAGAAGGAACAGUUGAUGUAUACAGCAGAAACAACAACUACAACGAUGAAGGGAGUCAACGCUCCACUCAGAAUUAACGUCCAAAUAAAUGAAUUAAAUAGGAAAACACGACUGUACCCUGAACCCACCGACGAAUUGUGUUGCUAGUUCGUGUAUAUCUCAACAAGACUAAGCACGUUACGACGCAUCUUGGUGUUUUUUCUCCCACUGUCUAGUACACGUUUCAAUUAGGUUGUAGGAAGUCUCGAGUAAUUACCUCGAACGUGAGAGAAAAGGUACAAUUUCAAACCUUGUACCUUUUACAAGUGUCCGAACUAUACACGAAGGCAGGAAGACAUUACAUCUAAAUUUUAUAUAUUCCAAAAGACUAACAGUAAAUAAAGGAUAAAAACUAAGUACCUACUGUCAUUAGAUGGAUGUUGUGAGCUUACCAAAGUUCUUUAACCACUUUUGUUCACUACACAAAAGUUAGAAACUACACACUUCUACACGUAACACACACCUACAUUCCUCUUUACCUUCCUAAAUACCGUUGUACGUUGUUAAAACAACGAAUGAACAUGUAUGAUAAAAAAUAAAUGACUAUAAGCAGCGUUAUAUGGAUACAUAGUGUGUAUGAUGCUCCUCUGUUUCAGAAUUAAUUAUUAACCUUGGACAUUGAGUAUAUACAGGAAACAAUUCCUACGUAAAAAACAAAAUAUCCAGUCUGACUUAAUAUACAAGGACAGGUUCGGGACAAGUGACCGUAACGGAGAACUAAGGGAAGAGUCUUGUCUUCUAGGUGCGAUUUGUAUUGUUCAAGUAAUCUCCUCGUUUACAACAAAUAGUGGCGUAGAGAAGUGUACAACUGUUCGGGCUAUAAAUACUUCCGUGAUAUGUUCCGCGACCGCGGUAUGGACGAGCCAUACCUGUCCUCUUCUACGUCCCCGAGGCGAAGAACCGGAGCCACUGCAGGAGCACGGGGAGGUGGCGACCACAACAACGAGCCCGCCGUGAUGGCCAGAUGAUACCGUCCGGACGAACAACGAGUCCAAAUUUCUUCUUAGUUCCUAGUCAAGUUACCAUUAACCUGACGACUACUGUGAACAAACUUGUGUACACUAGGAGUAUUAUCUCAACGGCACUCAUGGAACGUCGGAGCGAUGAAGCAAAACAGGACAAACUACCUUAUGAUGAUGCAACACACGGGGAAAGCUAAAACCGUACUGCUAAUCUCGUCUAUCGCAAAGACGACUCGUACCGUACAAACAAACAGAGUCCAACAUUUAAAAGAAUAUUAAAACAUUAAAAUCUGGAAGGAGAAUAAUUUUCAUAGAAUCUGGAAGGACAUUUAUCUCUCCGUUUAAAAAGAAUAAUUUUUAUAAACGUAAAUUCAAACUUUAUAAAUACAACGUAGUCGAGUGUGAUAAUAAUAAAAAACAUAUUGUACUGGGAGACUAAGUCAAUAACCCCAAGUAAUGACUUGAAACAUAAGAUGAGGCAUAAAUCGUAAGUACAAAUGGUAACUAAUACCCAAUUUCAGUCGUUUCUAUAGUG